rnacentral:rRNA from 1 species
CCUACGGGUGGCAGCAGUGGGGAAUAUUGGACAAUGGGGGGAACCCUGAUCCAGCCAUGCCGCAUGUGUGAAGAAGGCCCUCGGGUUGUAAAGCACUUUCAGUGAGGAAGAACGCCUGGUGGUUAAUACCCAUCAGGAAAGACAUCACUCACAGAAGAAGCACCGGCUAACUCCGUGCCAGCAGCCGCGGUAAUACGGAGGGUGCGAGCGUUAAUCGGAAUUACUGGGCGUAAAGCGCGCGUAGGUGGCUUGAUAAGCCGGUUGUGAAAGCCCCGGGCUCAACCUGGGAACGGCAUCCGGAACUGUCAAGCUAGAGUGCAGGAGAGGAAGGUAGAAUUCCCGGUGUAGCGGUGAAAUGCGUAGAGAUCGGGAGGAAUACCAGUGGCGAAGGCGGCCUUCUGGACUGACACUGACACUGAGGUGCGAAAGCGUGGGUAGCAAACAGGAUUAGAUACCCCUGUAGUC